rnacentral:lncRNA from 10 species
CAGAUAGAGACAAGGGAUAUUUGACUUCUUAUCUCUGUUGUCCAGCACAAUGUCCAGAACACAACAGAUAUUCCAUAUGCACAGUCACAUGCUAUGUAUGUGUAUUUUCUUUCCAGAAAGGACUAGAGGUCCUAAGCUUUGUUAAUAUCAUGAGCCAGUGCCCACAUGAGCAGGAGAAUUUUAGCACAGUCACCUACACACUCAUUUCGAUGCUCUGACCCCUUAUCCAAGCCAGUCAAAGUGUGGUCUAUGGUUUUGCAUUUUAAAGAGAUCCCUGGGUGAAUCUUGUGCAUGUUACAGGGAAGCACUGUCCUACAUCCUAUGUGACAGGCUCUCAUAGUCACCAUCAUCAUGGGAAUCUUGCACAUGUUACAGGGAAGCACUGUCCUACAUCAUAUGUGACAGGCUCUCAUAGUCACCAUCAUCACGGGAAUCUUGCACAUGUUACAGGGAAGCACUGUCCUACAUCGUAUGUGACAGGCUCUCAUAAUCACCAUCAUCAUGUGAUCUUGUGCAUGUUACAGGGAAGCACUGUUCUACAUCGUAUCUGACAGGCUCUCAUAGUCACCAUCAUCACGGGAAGCUGCAUUUAGAGCAUUUAACUGUAUGGGCUCUGAAAUCAGAUGACUUAGGUUUGGGCUUGCCUCUACUUCUUACUAAGCAGAGAACUUUGGGGCAUGAUACUUAAUUUUACUAGGCUCAGUUUUAUCAUGUGUAAAUUGGAGGCAAGGGGAAAUUAUAGCAUUUUGCAUAGAAUAUUGUUUUAAGUAUGAA